rnacentral:rRNA from 1 species
CCUACGGGAUGCAGCAGUGGGGAAUAUUGCGCAAUGGGCGAAAGCCUGACGCAGCGACGCCGCGUGAGGGAUGAAGGUCUUCGGAUCGGAAACCUCCGUCAGCAGGGAAGAACGGUCACUGUGCUAAUCAGCAGUGAAUUGACGGUACCUGCAAAGGAAGCACCGGCUCACUCCGUGCCAGCAGCCGCGGUAAUACGGAGGGUGCGAGCGUUAAUCGGAAUUACUGGGCGUAAAGCGCGCGUAGGCGGUAUGUCAAUUCAAGGGUGAAAUCCCGGCGCUCAACGUGGGAACUGCCUUUGAAACUGGCAAACUGGAGUGUGUGAGAGGAUAGUGGAAUUCCAGGUGUAGGAGUGAAAUCCGUAGAUAUCUGGAGGAACAUCAGUGGCGAAGGCGACUAUCUGGCACAUAACUGACGCUGAGGAGCGAAAGCGUGGGUAGCAAACAGGAUUAGAUACCCGGGUAGUC